GACGAACGCUGGCGGCGUGCUUAACACAUGCAAGUCGAGCGGUAAGGCCCUUUCGGGGGUACACGAGCGGCGAACGGGUGAGUAACACGUGGGUGACCUGCCCUCAGCUCUGGGAUAAGCCCGGGAAACUGGGUCUAAUACCGGAUAUGACUCCAUGACGCAUGUUGUGGGGUGGAAAGCCUUGUGCGGCUGAGGAUGGGCCCGCGGCCUAUCAGCUUGUUGGUGGGGUGANGGCCUACCAAGGCGACGACGGGUAGCCGGCCUGAGAGGGCGACCGGCCACACUGGGACUGAGACACGGCCCAGACUCCUACGGGAGGCAAC
rnacentral:rRNA from 1 species